rnacentral:rRNA from 1 species
UACAGAGGGGGCAAGCGUUGUUCGGAAUUACUGGGCGUAAAGGGCGCGUAGGUGGCCUGCUAAGUCGAACGUGAAAUCCCCGGGCUCAACCCGGGAACUGCGUCCGAUACUGGCAGGCUUGAAUCCGGGAGAGGGAUGUGGAAUUCCAGGUGUAGCGGUGAAAUGCGUAGAUAUCUGGAGGAACACCGGUGGCGAAGGCGGCAUCCUGGACCGGCAUUGACGCUGAGGCGCGAAAGCCAGGGGAGCAAACGGG